CACAGAAGCACAGUUACAAGCAGACUUGUUGGAGGUAAAUUACUGACUGUCCCUUGUGAUGCCUAAAUGACAGCAGAUUUCCCUGAGUGCUCAAUUUGUCCUUCAACUGAAACCCAGCAAGAUCCGGAAGAAGAUGGUGCUCACAGAGGCAAGAUGAGACCAGUAGACAGUGUGAGUGCACAGGAAGGCAGAGAUUGUGAUCACAUUACACCAUGUUCAGGAUAUGAAGGCCUGUACACCUGCUAUUAUUCACUGUACACCUUCCUUUCCACUUCACUGGGAUUUCAAUUGAAUUCUUUCAUUUCAUGCUUAUGCAAGGAUAAACCUGUCUCUUUAAUGCUACCUAUUAGCACUGUCCUCUAAUCCUAUCCUUAAAAUAGCCAUUAAAAAAGCGCUAAGUAAAAUAUGUUUUGCUUGAAUGUAUUUUUUUUAAAGCCAAACACCAAAUUUUCAUUAGCAAAGCAGUGAGUCACCCUAUCAAC
rnacentral:lncRNA from 1 species